GACGAACCGUGCGAACGUUAUUCGGAAUCACUGGGCUUAAAGCGCGUGUAGGCGGGAGGGAACGUCGGCCGCUGAAAUCCCCCGGCUUAACCGGGGAAGUGGCGCCGAUACGGCCGUCCUGGAGGGACGUAGGGGGAGCUGGAACUUCCGGUGGAGCGGUGAAAUGCGUUGAGACCCGGAGGAACACCAGUGGCGAAGGCGGCUUCCUGGUCUGCGACUGACGCUGUGGCGCGAAAGCUAGGGGAGCAAACGGG
rnacentral:rRNA from 1 species